ACAAACAAACAGAAUUAAUAUUUUAAUGUAGAAAUAAUACCGAAAAAUAUUUUUAUUGUUGUGGCCACAUUGGUGGGAGAAAAAUAUCAAUAGAAGUGUUACAUGACAUCUAUGUGUUUACACAUUGUCAGGGUUGUAAUUCUGUGCAUGUGAUCAAAUUUUUGUUUUUAUACCACAUUAUUCUAUAGCUGUCCAUAAAUUUCUAUCAUAGUUUUGAAUAUUUGCCUAAAACUAAUAGCACAUAAUCAUUUUUUUUUUGUUUGUAGAAAUGUAAUGGUACACUAAGCCUCACAGUUGUAGAAUGUGACUUUUAGACUGAUGUUAUACAUAGUUAUGUUAAAAACACAUUUUUUUCUAGAUAUAGACAUUUCUGAUAUUCAUAUACUUUUUAUUUAUGGAACAUGUAGAUAUAACUUAAUUUCCAAGAUGUGUUGUGGCUCAUGAUGCAAUUCAUUUUUCUGCAGAACAUUUUAUAGAAAUGUUUCUGAGUUUGUUACCUGGCAAUAACCAAGAAAAUUUUGUAAAUAAGCAGCAAGAGAAAUAUUUUGUUUUAAACAACUAGUAUUUCUAAAUGGAUUGAGAGUCUCAAAAGGUAUAAUUUUGUAAAUACUGCAUUGUAAGUAUGUUAAUCUUUUAAAAUUAAUGACAUGAAAUUGACAAACAGGGCCUGGAGUUUUGCAAAAUUUGUCAUGUGUUUGUUUGGUGGUUACGAGGAAACAUUGACAAGAUUAUGCAUUUACCCUGUUCUCAUAUAGGAAAAUAAUUUGCCAUUUUAUCAAGUAUGUGUAUUUAAAAACUACACCAUGUAAAACUAUACCAUUUAAAAACCUAUGCCAUUUAAAUUUAUUUGGUGUUUUUGGAGGUACCAAUAUUCCUGAUGUAUUUUAUGUUAUGAUCUUUUAUUAAGCCUUUUUUUUUUUCUAGGAGCAAUUUUAUGUUCACGGCAAAAUUUAGGGGAACAUACAGGGGUUUUCCAUUUACUCCCUGUCCCAACGCAUAUAUAAAUCCUCCUCUGUUAUCAACCCAACACAUGCAUAAUUCACCCGCAUUAUCAAAUGCCCCAUCAAAAUAGUACAUUUGCUACAUUGAUGAACCUAAGUUGACACAUCAUGUCACAAAUCACCCAAAGUCCAUCCUUUACAUUAUGAUUAACUUAGUAUUGUACAUUCUGUGGCUUAGACAGAUGUAUAAUGAACAUAUAUUCAUCAUUAUCACACCAUACAUGGUGUUUUAAUGGACCUCAAAAUUCUCUGUCCUCCAGUUACUAAUUCCUCCCCUUAUACUAUUUCCUUUUUCCAUCUCUUCCUUCCUGCCAACAUUCAAGUUAAUAAGUGACUUGGUUAAAAAGAUUUUAUACUACCUCUUGGAACUAUACACAGUUCUGUAUGUGUUCCCUUUGUUGCAUGACAAUAUUCAAGACAACUUUGUAAAUAGGCAGAUAUGAGUUUUUAAUUUUUAACAUCUGGUCUUUCUAGAUGUAUAGUCUCACAAAGUACAAUUUUGUAAAUAAUUAAUUGUAAAGUUUCAUGGUUUAUUUCUUCACCUACCAGUGAAAUUGAUACACUUGUGGAUUUCAUGAGUUACACAUAUUUUGGAAUCUGUUUCUUGAUUUGUUACAGCAAAGCAGAGGUUAAAAGGGCAGUUUUUCAUUUUUGCCUUCUCAGCUGAAAGAAAAUUUUACAUUUUAAUUACUCAGUGCUUAGAUUUUAUUUUAUUUGUAGUUGUAUUGCUGAUAGGAAAUUAUAUUUCAAUCAUAAGAAAUGUGUAUUUAAAAAUUUUAUUCACUCUGAAUUAAUAUAGUUUGGUAUUUAUUCGGACUGCAUAACACCAUUCAAGACAAUUUUGUAAAUAAUAGGAAAUAUGUCAUUAAAAAGGCUACUUUUUCUAUAUGCAUGGAAUUUCAUGAGUAUAAAUUUGUAAAUAUCUAAUUGUAAAAUAUCAUAAAUUGGCUUCUAUAAAUGUUUUAACAACUUAGGUAAUUAAUAAUUGGGCUUUUAAGUCUUUGUAACAUUUUUGUGUUUAUGCCACGGGCUUUCUAAGGAUAUCAUUAUGUUCUCAUGCAUAAAAAAUGUUGAGAUUAUACACUUUUAACAAACAAAAUGUCCUUGGGAUUUAAUUUCUCUUUAAGAAGUAAAAGAGACAGGAGAAGGUAAUUGUCCUUUUAAACUAUAGAUUUAUUUAUAGUUAUAUAACUCUGCUAAAAUAACUGCUAUUUUGAUAUGCCAUAUAAAGCUACUGUUUGAAAAGCUAGUAUAGAAGCCUUCCUUGUGUAAUAUAUAAAGGAAUAUUAAUUUUUAUAUAAAACAGUUAAGCUGUAACAUUUCUGUUAUGUUUAUUUAAAUACAUCUAUCCAAAAACAAAAUUUUUGUUGGGAAUAUAUCUGCUAUUAAUUGAAGUGUAAAUAAAUAUAUCGUUUUGAAUAGCAGUUUGGCAAUCAAUCAAAAUUUGUGUAAAACUUUUGAAUUGUUGGAAUUUGCUGAUUACAUUUUAUCUAUUCCUACUCAAGUAAUAUAAAGAAGAAAGUAUGUUAUAGGUUGAGUGUAAGACUAAUGAUAGCUUAUUCAUAUGGAUAUCAUUGAAAAACACUGAAAUAUUCUGAUAUUGAAGGAUGUUUUAAGUUGAUUUUUAAAAUUGUCAGUUUUGAAGAAAGGUCAACUAAAUAUGUAUAAGAGGUCUGUCCAUGUGCCUCUGGUUUCCUGAUUUAAAUAUUCAUUGUUAUUACUGGAAAAUGGGGCUGUCUAGAUACAAUAAUGUGAAGAAAUGCUUACUUAUUUGUGUUACUAUAAUGGCAUUCUUCUUGAAAUUUUUGUACAUGUUUAAACACUAAAACAAUGUUUAUAACUUUGUAUAUUGCUAUGUGACAAUCUAAAAUGCAUAUAGGGGUUAUUGUAGAGAAACUUGCCUGAAAAAACAUGGCAAAAUUUUAACAUUACUGUAUAAAGAGAUGAGAAAUUAAGGGACUGCUGCUACUUUCCCACAUUUGUAAUUUUAAAGGUGUUUCAAAAGCAACGUUUAAACAACGAAGGGAAUUCUAGAGAUAUAAUUGAUUUGUGCCUGUCCUGAUUGUUGCCUAUUGACAUCUUGGGAAUGUUGGGCUGUUGUAUCCAACUUUGUAUCCUCAGUGGCUGUAAUGAAUAGUUUUGAGUGAUCAUGAAGAACCUGUGACAUAGACUAGUGCAGCAGAGUUACCCAGCGAAAUAAAGACUGUUGGGUUACCGAAGGAAAGAAGAAGAAAGAAGACAGGAUUUGAGGUGAACAUGGUAAAAAAUGACACACUUGCAUAUAACCUGAGGAUAGCUGGCAUCAGGAACAUCCUUAUGCAACUAUGCCUAUGGAGUUCUUAUUCUUAUGCAAACAUGCCUAUGGAGUUCUUUCAUUUAUAAAUUUCAAAUUUAAACCACAGGAGAUGACAGUUACAAGAAAACAUACUUUUGCCACGUUUGUUUUUAAAUCUCAGUAAUUGGUACCACCAGACCUGUUGCAGUAUUCUCAUUCCAAGUGUUCUUCACUCCCAUCUUUGGACCCUGGAGAAGCCCUUGGCCAUCAUAAUCUGUGUCCUUUAGGUGAUGAUUGAUUAGGAUACUGAUCACUUCUGCAACCAUCUUCACUAAAAACCAAAAGACAGUCUUCAUAAUGUAUGUAGACUCGGCAUUGAUGUGUUACAAUAGACACUCCCUGUAGAUCAGAAAAACUGGACUUAGAAGGCUCAAGUUCGAAAGUGACGUGAAGGAUGUUAUUGGAGAGAAUUGUAACCAGGCAUGUUGAGAGAUUUCAAUUGUUGCCAUUGGACUAAAUCUCAGGAGCUUUACUGAUGGAGGCAUCAUUACAUGGAGAAGAUCAGCAUGGAGUGAUUGCAAGGCUUCGUUUCAGUGCUCUCAUAAACAUUAGGUUCUUGUAUUUAAAAUUUUAACUUAUCACAGGGAAAUUUAAAAUUGAUUCAUAAAAAAUCGUCUUUUUCAAGAUCUCAAAGGACAUGGAAAUUUGUGAAAAUAUUCCCUGUCUAUACUUGCAUUUUUUCUCUCAAUUGGUGCUUAAAAUUACUUUGCAAGUUGGAAAAAUAAUGCAGUUUUAAUUUCAUUUGCAACAAAUUUAAUAGAUUAAUUAGGAGAGACUAGAUCUCUUUAAAAAUUGAGUCUUCCUACCCAACAGCAAGGUUUUUGGUGUGGUGACGUUUUUACAGAUAAUAGAGUUGUAGCCUCUCUUACUUCUGGUAUCUACCCCCCUGUGGCUGAAGUCAGUAUGGCAAGCUUGCUGUAGGCUUCCUGAUGGGAGGGGCUGAUGCCUGCCCACUGGUGGUGAACAUAUGGACAAGAGGAUCAUAGAAAUCUUCACAGUGGUUUCAUCCACAGCAUCACCCAAUUGCUGUCAUUAUUUACCCCUUUCAGAAGCUUGUCUCAUCUUUGUAUCCCGAAAGGCAUGCCUUGAUAUAUGUAUCCUUGGGAAUAGAAGUGACGUUGCUUUUGACAAGUAA
ensembl:lncRNA